CAAGACCAAGCCUCCCCGCUGCUGAGAGAAAUGCAAUCAUUGAUGUCAUAGCCAAAACCUUUGACAAGCCUCUGGUUGAUGUUGAAGAAAAGAUGAGAGGUUGUUUAAGGCAUCUGCGGCUGAUGCACAAGUAGACUGAAGUCUUUGUAAAUAAAAUGUGCUGUUAAAAUGAUUAUUUAACCAUUGUUUUCACUUUGUUAUGUAGAUUUGCACCUGUUUCAACAACAUUAACUUAUU